AUUGAACGCUGGCGGCAUGCCUUACACAUGCAAGUCGAACGGCAGCACGGGAGCAAUCCUGGUGGCGAGUGGCGAACGGGUGAGUAAUAUAUCGGAACGUGCCCAGUCGUGGGGGAUAACGUAGCGAAAGCUACGCUAAUACCGCAUACGAUCUACGGAUGAAAGCGGGGGAUCGCAAGACCUCGCGCGAUUGGAGCGGCCGAUAUCAGAUUAGGUAGUUGGUGAGGUAAAGGCUCACCAAGCCGACGAUCUGUAGCUGGUCUGAGAGGACGACCAGCCACACUGGGACUGAGACACGGCCCAGACUCCUACGGGAGGCAGCAGUGGGGGAAUUUUUGGACAAAUGGGCGCAAGCCUGAUCCAGCAAUGCCGCGUGCAGGAUGAAGGCCU
rnacentral:rRNA from 1 species